AGGAUGAACGCUAGCGGCAGGCCUAACACAUGCAAGUCGAGGGGCAGCACGUCUUCGGAUGGUGGCGACCGGCGCACGGGUGCGUAACGCGUAUGCAACCUACCUCUUACAGUGGGAUAGCCCAGGGAACUUGGAUUAAUACCGCAUAGUAUACGGGACCAGCAUUGGAUCCGUAUUAAACAUUCAUGGGUAAGAGAUGGGCAUGCGUUCUAUUAGUUAGUUGGAGUGGUAACGGCACCCCCAAGGCGGCGAUAGA
rnacentral:rRNA from 1 species